CCUACGGGAGGCAGCAGUGGGGAAUAUUGGACAAUGGGCGCAAGCCUGAUCCAGCCAUGCCGCGUGUGUGAAGAAGGCCUUCGGGUUGUAAAGCACUUUUAUCCGGAAAGAAGAGCUUUGGGUUAAUACCCUGAAGUCAUGACGGUACCGGAAGAAUAAGCACCGGCUAACUUCGUGCCAGCAGCCGCGGUAAUACGAAGGGUGCAAGCGUUACUCGGAAUUACUGGGCGUAAAGCGUGCGUAGGUGGUUUGUUAAGUCUGAUGUGAAAGCCCUAGGCUCAACCUGGGAAUUGCAUUGGAUACUGGCAGGCUAGAGUGCGGUAGAGGAUAGUGGAAUUCCCGGUGUAGCAGUGAAAUGCGUAGAGAUCGGGAGGAACAUCUGUGGCGAAGGCGACUAUCUGGGCCAGCACUGACACUGAGGCACGAAAGCGUGGGGAGCAAACAGGAUUAGAUACCCUGGUAGUCCACGCCCUAAACGAUGCGAACUGGAUGUUGGGUGCAACUAGGCACUCAGUAUCGAAGCUAACGCGUUAAGUUCGCCGCCUGGGGAGUACGGUCGCAAGACUGAAACUUAAAUGAAUUGACGG
rnacentral:rRNA from 1 species